rnacentral:tRNA from 1 species
CGAGACGUAACUCAGGUUGGUAGAGUGCUUGCUUUGGGAGCAAGAUGCCGCAGGUUCGAAUCCUGUCGUCUCGA